CAAAACUUUCAACAACGGAUCUCUUGGUUCUGGCAUCGAUGAAGAACGCAGCGAAAUGCGAUAAGUAAUGUGAAUUGCAGAAUUCAGUGAAUCAUCGAAUCUUUGAACGCACAUUGCGCCCUCUGGUAUUCCGGGGGGGCAUGCCUGUUCGAGCGUCAUUA
rnacentral:rRNA from 1 species